rnacentral:tRNA from 1 species
UAAAAUUUAAUUCUUAUUAAAUUAUUAAAUUUAAUUAGUUAAUGAGCUUGAAUAAGCAUAU